UUCCAAAUAUGGUUAGGGUCAAUUGUAUUUGUACAAUUCGAUUAUAUAAUUUUUAUGAAAGAGGUCACUCUGUUUAUAUCGGCCAUUCGAUUAUAUAAUUUUUAUGAAAGAGGUCACUCUGUUUAUAUCGGCCACGUAAACAAUCGUGUAUUGGAAAUUUGAAGUAGAUAAACAUAUUAAUUAAAUGGACAGAGAAAUUGAUUAUUAGCGCUAUAAAAGUUAAUGAUUAAUUCUAACAACAUAUGUGUCCUGAAUUAGUGUCAAAAUACUGUCACAAUAGAUCUUUCUCCUUUAGAAAAUCUUGUCCCAAGAUUUAAAUUAAUUAGAAAAAAAAAAAUUAAUAAUUUUAUAAGAUUUAGAGCAACUUAAAAUAUCAUAAUUUACUAAAUUGAUUAUUGGAUUUAUAACUUUUAAUUAUUAAUUUCAGUAAAUAAUUAAUAUCCAUAUGAAACUUCAAAAUAACAAAGUAGACAAUUAAGUUAAAUAUAAAGCAAGAAUAAGG
rnacentral:lncRNA from 1 species